CCUGUUUUAACCAGGUAACAACCUGAACACCAUGUCUGCUUGACCUGUUUUAACCAGGUAACAACCUGAACACCAUGUCUGCUUGACCUGUUUUAACCAGGUAACAACCUGAACACUAUGUCUGCUUGACCUGUUUUAACCAGCCAGUAGUGUGUCCAUGAAGAGAAGCUGAGCAAUGGAAACACCAGGAGACGCUCCAGAGGGACAGAGACACGUCCGUCGGAAGAGACCUCCAUCACCUGUGCCCACUUGUGUGUCCAUGAAGAGUGACCGGUCAAAUGAUCGCCCCAUCAACUUCCAAAAUAAAGAUGGUCUAAAUGGAUCAAGGCAAGUCCAUGAAACAGACUCAUGUCAAGGGUAUGCUAGGAAGGGUAUGUUAGGAAGUCAACAAAAAUUGAAUUUAAAGUGUCACAACCAGAUAUUUGGUCAAGAAACAAAGAGUCUUUGUAUAAAUACUUUGUCAUUGUAUUUCAUUUAAAUACCAACAUUCCAUUUCUAGCUUUUUAAAAACAGUCAGAUUUUGGGUGUAAAUGCCUCUGUAGUAA